rnacentral:lncRNA from 10 species
GUGGACUAUGAACUUCACAUGUGCUUCUCAGUUUUCAUCUGCCCCCUUAGGUGGGACAGGAUGAUAGAAUGAGCUAGAGUUAAGUAUUUUCCUUCUUCCACAUGGAAAGCUAGAGGGGCUGGAGAUAUUUUUUUUUUCCCCCAGGUCACUUAGGCUCUGAUAAAACUUCAGCAGGUUGGGCUCCCUUAAAUAGUUACUCCUGAGAGCAGGUCUUGCUAAGAAGAAAAUGCUCUGGUGUAUUUCAAAAUGGUUCGUUUUUCUUUCUCCCUGACAAAAGCAUGAAGAGAUUUUUUUUCCCGGGAAUUUACUGUGAGGCCCUGGUCAAACUCCUGGAGGUAAAAUUCAUGAAACUGUGGGAACUGCGUUGGCUGGGUUCCCCGGAAUAACUCUCAGGCUUGUUCACAACUUAGCUUCCGGCAAUUCAUCAAUUACAGCGCAGGUUUUCCUGUGCCAGCACUGAUUCCGGCAGUGGUUUCUGCUCUUGAGUUUCUCCUCUGGUAUUUUAACAACUUGCAAAACCCCUAUCUGCAAUACUCAAGAAGACUAAUUUCAGAAUACUUAUCUGUGAAGCUGGAAAGCCAAAAUGAGAUUUCAGAGCCCUCACAGUGCUGGAGGAACAAAGUUGAACUUUAAGCUCAGCCAGGGUGCAGUGUACUAGACAAAUGCAUUAACAGUGGAAGCUGCUGAAAAGAUUUUCCAUUCAUGGAUUUUAAUGAGAAAGGAUGAAAAAUCAAAGUAGUUUUAAGGAUUAAGCAAAGGAUUGGGUAUGUAUUGUAUUAGAAAAUCUUACUGAUUUGCAUAUAAAAUAUAGGAUUAACUUGGUAUAAAUAUAUAUAUAAUAAAUACAUAAAAUAAAGAAUAACAGAAAAUGUUUCCACUCUUACAAAUGCAAAAAUAGAGAGAGAACAUCUGGUAGAGAGAGUAAUUAUAUUAGUAUUGAUCACAUUAUAAUAUUUAUAAUAAAGAAAAGUGUACAUUCUAACAAUUUAUUUUUUUCUAAAAACCUGCAUUUGUUAGUGGCAGGAAUUAUGCAACAAGAAAAUUAGUAUAUUUUAGAUAGUGAGUUUUAUUGCUAUACUUCUGGGCUGUGAAGGAGGCUUUUGUGAUUUACCACGGAC